rnacentral:lncRNA from 1 species
GUCAGGGAAAGGACCUUUAUAUAGGCACAGGGGAUAAAUACAGUUUAGAACUCGAAAAUACUGAGAAAAUAUAAAAACCCGAAAAUUCCCGAAAAUUCGGAAAUUUCCGUCAACACUAUUCACUGCUGUGCGCGACUUUCUUGUUUUGGCCAUAACUUUCUUGUCCGAACUCCGAUUUAUGAUCCGUUUGCGCUCACGAACUCCUCUUCACUACAAGAAAAGCUACCGGACACCGACGGAAUUACCGACGGAAUUAAUUCCGUCACCAAAUAACGACCGAAUAACGACGGAUUAACGACGGAAAUACUCUUUCAUACAUAGCGAUGGAUUUACCG